rnacentral:rRNA from 1 species
UACGUAGGGGGCAAGCGUUGUCCGGAAUUAUUGGGCGUAAAGAGCGUGUAGGCGGCCUUACAGGUCAGCUGUGAAAACUCGAGGCUCAACCUCGAGACGUCGGUUGAAACCGUAUGGCUAGAGUCCGGAAGAGGAGAGUGGAAUUCCCGGUGUAGCGGUGAAAUGCGCAGAUAUCGGGAAGAACACCCGUGGCGAAGGCGGCUCUCUGGGACGGUACUGACGCUGAGACGCGAAAGCGUGGGGAGCGAACAGG